CUCCAUUUUAGAUUUCACUCGAUAUUAGACCUGAUUUACCUAACUACACUGACUACUUAAUUUUAAAUCUGGCUUCACCAGGUCUCCUGCACUUCCCUCUUGGUGUGGGGCUCCCUCCCAGGUGCAGGCUACAGGUGGUCACAGGAGCCCAGGUCUCCUGCCACCUCUCUUCCCAGGUGCAGGGCAGAGAAGUGUGGAUGUUCAUGGAUCUUAGCCACUGUUCCUCUUAUGGCCACCUCUUUCUUUUCUGCAGACAUCCUAAAAUGCAAGUAUGACUGGUGUCUACUCUGUCUAUUACUGGAGUUUUUGUUUGUGCAUUUGUUUGACACUAGAAAUUGAUUCCAGAAGCUCUUUUACAACUGAUCCAUGUCCCCAGCCCUUUUUAAAAUUUUUCAGACAGGAUCUCCCUAAGUUGCUUAGAGUCUUGGUAAGUUGCUGAGGCUGGCUUAGAACCUGCAAUCCUCCCGCCUCAGCCUCCUGAGCCAUUGAGAUUAGAGGCAUAUGCCACCACACCCAGCAUACCUGCAGACCUUGAUGGGUGCCCUAUCAGCGGACACUGAGUCCCUUGAAGGUGGCCUGUGCUCUCUGAGUGGCUGGGAUCCUCCUUCCUGCUGGGGAAAAGCCAGGUCUUCCCAGUCAGGUCAGCAUGCAGAGUGUGACAUUCACAGUGGAUGUCUUGUAGCCUGGAGUCCUGCUCCUGGGUGCACCUGGUGUAUUAAUGCGCUUGUCCACCAGGCCUGGAAUACCACUCCUAGAAACUGCCGAUUUCCAGUGGCUUCCCAAUCUCCCAUCCCUUUCUGCAUGUUAAAGCAUUUCAUUGGGAGAUAGGAAAGUAUAAAUUUAUGUAAUUAACUCUACCAUACAACUCAAAAGUUCCUAUAUGAAUUUAAAAAUGUUGGUUUAAGUUACUCUCCCUAAAAGCAGUUUUAAGAUAUUCCCCCUAAUUUAUCCUGGAUUGCCUCUCUUUCUGUCUGUCUGUCUGUCUGGUCUAUCUAUCUCUCCACCUGCUUCACGCGGUGCAUCUCAACACCUCUGGACACAGACGGAGAAACCUUCCCUGGUGAAUUAACAGCUCACUGGCACCUCCCGCUCACUGGCGGGCAGAGCAUGGUGGCUGUGGGGUGCCUCUUGCUGGCAGGCAUCUGUGGCAACCUGGACCCCCUCCGUGGGCCUGCGCUGCCCCCUGCUGCCUUCCUGGAGCAUGUCCCCACUGUCCACUGCUGGAGAAGGCAGCCUGUGCGCCUUUCCUGAAGGGAACCUGGAGUCCUCCUUUGUAGUUUACCAUCAUGUGCCUUAGAGCUGUGGACUGAUGAUCUAUCGCAUCAGGUAUGAUAAGUGCUCAGCGUUGUAUUUUAUUUUUAGAUUGAUAUUUGUACCUGCUCAUCCUAAUCUGGUCAGCCGUGCCCUUGGUUUCUGGGUGGAUGCAGUAAGUACUUUGAUUGCCCAGGAAGAAAUCACGAUUCUUUCUCUGAAAAGGUGCGGGGAAACAGCUUUGGGAAUGCCACAUCCAGCUGACUUGCCCCUGAGCUGUCCCAGUAAACAAGCAGGCUGCCAAAGAGCCCUCCUGCUAGGCGUGGGGGCAUGGUGGGCUGGGGGACAGCUUCUGGGCUGUCCGUGAUCUGGCCAUGUGACCGCCCACCUGUGGUGGACCUCCUGAGGUCAUUAAGUUAGAGGUGUUGGCACUGAUGUCCAUUCAGAGGAACACCAGAACAGUCUACAGUCAUCAAACUCAUGUUUCUAAGGAGCUUUUAAUCUCAUGGAGAACACUGUGGAUGAAUUUCAAAUGAUGGAAAAGUGCAGAAUUAUAUAUGACUUCAAUAAUGUUUAAACAAAUGGAAUAGAGCACCAGUGAAUCCAGUUCUUCAAUUAUUAACAGCAAUCUUCUCUGCAUUUCCUAAAGUAUGUUGUCAAUGUUUUCUAAAGUAAAAUGGGGUGUUUUAUUAUGAACAGAACAUUAGCAGUUGGUUUAAAAUGAGCAUCUUUGACUAUGCAAAGAAUAACCUCAUCUAUAUAGCACACUUACAUUAUGAACAAUAAAGAAUUUGAUGAAAUUUUUUUUUUUCAUUAUCUACUGACAUGAACAUUCUUUUUCAUCAAAGGGUCUGAAAUAUCAGGCUAUUAAACCUAAAACCCUAAAACUAAGAUGGUAAGGGUUAUUAUUUAAACAUUUUACAAAAAUUCAUUAACAUUUAAUUUAUAAUCAUUAGAGCUCUAUUUAUUAUUAACAUUGAUCUCAUCAGAUCUUAAAUAUCAAGACUUCAAUAGUUUUAGAAAUUAUUGGAUGCAUUUAUAAUCUAAUAUUCCUAAUAUCAUAUUAUAAUAGCUGGGGUUAUAAUUCAAUAGUUUACAGUAGCUUUAUAAACCAUGGAUUAGAAUUUCAUCAUUAUGUAUAUGAGAACCAUUAUUAUUAAGUUUGGUAACACUCGUUCCUUGAUGGAACCCAGGUAAACCAGCUGAGCCUGAAACUUGAGUGGUUGUUGACUUGUGUCUCUUUAGAUUCCCUUCCCUCAACGCAUACAUUCUCCUUUUUAUUACUUUUUGAGAUAAUUCAUGGCUUCACGGAGAAAAGUCUCUUUUGUGGAGUGUUACAAUGCAGAGCCUUUACCCUGUGGGACUUCACAUUUCUCCCCAUGGUUCAAAACUGGACCUGAAGACUCUACUUAAUUUUAGGCCUAAUUCAUUAUCAUUUUUAUUUCCAUUUUCUUUUAGAAAAAAAUCAUUCAUGAUUUAGAUUACAGAACAAUUAUUUAAUAUUUAUAUUAAGACUUACUUACCUGUAUUUCUAUUCUUACAUGUUCCUGUUAUUUACUGACGUCAUGGACAGCUAGAAACAAUCUCUGCCUAAAGCCCUGGGUGCCUGGAGCACCUUCCACGUUGCCCCAGGCCUGUGGAAUCGGACAGAACCACCGUGGUGUGUGCAGUGCCAGGAGGCGUCUCCCAGCAGCACUGAGCCCCAGCACCCUGGAGGCAGGGGAGGUGACUGGCUGGGAACGAAGGCAACAGAAAUGGCCAUGAAGUUCUGAGAUGUGGAAGGUGCCCCAGACAGGGACCCGGUCCCGUGGCUUUACUCUAGACAGUACCAAGUGUUAGAGUCUGUAAACAAGUCAGGAUGGCGCCUGGUAUUUUGCCAGGGGGAGUGGUUUGUGAGGUGGCGCCAGCGAGCCAUUAAGUGUGGAGAU
rnacentral:lncRNA from 1 species